CAUCAUCAGAGCUGCUACUACGAAACCUGCGAUAAUGUUUAUGAAGAUGUGGAGAUCAACAAACACCUGUCAAGCCAUAUGUCAACCAAGCAAAAAAGCAGAUUACGAAAUCCAUAUGCAGACAGCCAGUUAAGGAAGGGGGAAGCGUGUCUUCACAAACGACCACGGCAUCCAUGG